GGGGGGGCACUUAAAAAUAUUAGUUCAGAAGGGGGGGGGUCCAGUUAUUUAUUAUAGUGGAGAAAAAUUUGACAUGUAACGAUUAUUGCUACCACAGGGAGCGAGCAAAGCAGCAAAUUUAAUUCAUGUAUAUAGCUAGCAAAAUUCUGAAUUUUAAUCAACAGAUAGACCCAAAAUGCAAUGCACAAAUACCCAAAAUGCAAUGCGCGCAGCUAAUACGAAAAAUAAUCGAACAUCUACCUU